rnacentral:rRNA from 1 species
UACGUAGGCAGCGAGCGUUGUUCGGAAUUACUGGGCGUAAAGAGUGUGUAGGCGGUGCUCUAAGUUCGGUGUGAAAUCUCCUGGCUCAACUGGGAGCUUGCAGGCGAAACUGCCGUGCUGGAGUGCGGGAGAGGAAAGUGGAAUUCCUGGUGUAGCGGUGAAAUGCGUAGAUAUCAGGAGGAACACCGGUGGUGUAGACGGCUUUCUGGACCGUAACUGACGCUGAGACACGAAAGCGUGGGUAGCAAACAGG